AAGAAAAGAAAAAAUAUUUGGAGGAUUUACGACGUUGAUGACCGUUGAAAUGCACGUCAUCACGUCUUGCGUACAACAUAGAGGCUAGUGGCAGUGCGCGCUGUGCGGUGAAGACGUCAGGUCGAAGCAGCUCGACAAGGUUGGUGCUUGUAUCAGUGAAGGAUUCUGAGGUAACGUAAUUUAACAGAGUUAGAUCCAUUACGCAGAAAUCAAAGAAGGAGGCUGUGUAUGCAAAUAUCCCCAAAAGACGAUGAUCAAAUAGAGUAUCUACUGGAAUAAAUACUCAAGCUCAUACCUGACUCAGACCUCUUAGUUCACAUUUGUUCUCUGCCAGGAUGUUUAACUUCAGGUUUGUUUUUGUUGUUGUUGUUGUUAUUUUUAAUAUUAUUGUAAUGCAGUGAUUUACAGUCUCUCACACAUUCCCUGCACUGUAACAUACAGAAACAAUAGACAUCUAUUAUGUUUAUUUUCCAUAUUGUAUACUCCACAUUGUGUGUAUAUUUGAUAAAGGUGUAAUUCUGUGUAUAUUUUGUAUAGUGUAGAUACUGUACUAUAUUGUAUAAAUCCUGUAUUGUAUUGUAUUGUGUAUGUUAAUAUAUUUUUUUAUUAUUAUGUGUUACAUUCUGUACUAUGUGUAUAUUUUGUAUAUUUAUUUUCUAUAUUUGUAUAUUUUAUAGAGUCUACCUGUCAAAAGCACAGUCUGGAGUAUGUACUCAAGACUACACUUAAGUGUAAUAUUUCUACAUCUUUUGAAGAUACUUUUCACACUCUAAAUUUUGAAAUCAGUAUUGCUCUGCUCAUAUAGAGUUACUUAAGUGAUAGUAAAUCACACUAGCAAAACAACACAUAUUCCUGCCGUAGGACCUGAAGACAGACAGGUCUAAAUAAAUGGAUGAUCUUGACUUAAUAAACAUCAUGAAAACCAACGACAUAUUGAUUCAUACCCAUCUCUUUAUGCACAACCAGCUAAAUAGCCUUUACUACAAAUUUUCAAUUAACCCUAUUUUGUUAUCAUCAUCACUUUGUCUCCAGCUUUCUGC